AGGAAUAUUGGUCAAUGGACGGAAGUCUGAACCAGCCAUGCCGCGUGAAGGAUGAAGGCGUUCUGCGUUGUAAACUUCUUUUAUCUGGGAAGAAACCACAGAUUUCUAUUUGUGUUGACGGUACCAGAGGAAUAAGCUCCGGCUAACUCCGUGCCAGCAGCCGCGGUAAUACGGAGGGUGCGAGCGUUAUCCGGAUUUACUGGGUUUAAAGGGUGCGUAGGCGGGCUAUUAAGUCAGAGGUGAAAUCUCCGGGCUCAACCUGGAAACUGCCUUUGAUACUAUUAGCCUUGAAUUAUGUUGAGGUCGGCGGAAUAUAACAUGUCGCGGUGAAAUGCUUAGAUAUGUUAUGGAACACCGAUUGCGAAGGCAGCUGGCUAAACAUAUAUUGACGCUGAUGCACGAAAGCGUGGGUAGCGAACA
rnacentral:rRNA from 1 species